rnacentral:rRNA from 2 species
CUUUCAGCAACGGAUCUCUUGGCUCUCGCAUCGAUGAAGAACGCAGCGAAAUGCGAUAAGUAAUGUGAAUUGCAGAAUUCAGUGAAUCAUCGAAUCUUUGAACGCACCUUGCGCUCCUUGGUAUUCCGAGGAGCAUGCCUGUUUGA